GAGCCCCCGGGGUGCCGGCGGAUGAACUCGCUGAUGUUGUACACCUUCCGGUCGAUCACGAGCCACCGCUCUUUGUCGCGUCCCGAGCGCUGCGCCACCUCGUCCCAGGUGAGAAAGCUGAAACUGGACAGGUCCUACCAGAAGCAAGGUCACAGAGUGAGUGGUUCUAAGGCCUCCUCUCUUUGUGCUGCGCCAGACGAGCCACAGAGCCUCCUCCAAGUGCCUCCAACCUGGGGAAACUGGGAAACUGGCUGGGUGCCCCUCGUCUCUCCAGAGCCUCACCAGCCGCACACAAGUGGUUUGCUGCCCGUCCACGCCAAGCAAUUUUGGAGGCCCCAGGGAGAUUCCAACCAUGCCGGCCCCUUGAGCCGCCAGACUGGUGGCUCAGCCAGGUGAGGGCGAAGGAGCUCUGAGACAAAAGAGGAGGCAUGCCACCCGACGGUAUUCCGGGUUCUCUUUUGGACCGGUGCUCCAACUCUCUGGACAGCCAGGCCCCAACCGGACUCUUUGGAGGGACAGACCAGCUCACCAGGAAUGGCCACAGGAAAAGGAGAGAAAGUGGGGUAUGAGAAGAUGGUCACAUCCCAGGUCUCAGGCGAGUCCCUGGGACAGCUGCUAAGUGUGGGUUCUUUGCUUCACACAGGAAAGAAUUCAAGAGCGAGCCAUGGUAAGUGAAAGAAAGUUUAUUCAGGGAGAUGGAGAUACACACUCCAUAGACAGAGCAUGGGCCCUCCCAGAAGAUCAGAGAGGCAUCAGGGUAUGGAGUUGUCAGUUUUUACAGGGGCAGGUAAUUUCACAGGUUAAUAAGUGGGAAGAGUAUUCCAGCUAUUUUGGGGAAGGGAUGGGGAUUUCCAGGAAUUGGACCACUGCUCACUUUUUGAUUUUUUGUGGUAGGCCUUGGAACUGUCAUGGUGCUGGUGGGUGUGUCAUUUCAUGUGCUGAUGUGCUACAAUAAGUGUAUACUGAGGCUCAAGGUCUAGUAGAAGUCAAUUCGUCUGCCAUUUUGGACCUAGUUGGUUCUAAUCAGUUUAUGUUGUGUCCUUGGUCUAUGUCAUUAUUUUAAAUAUUGUGCCCUGCCCCCUUCCUGUCUCACAUCCUUGCUUAAGCCAUGGAAAGUCUUAUUGGUUUGUUGAAUUGGCACUAUUUAAAAGAAAAUAAAUGGUUUUCAAGAGAUUUCAUCCUAAGCAGUUGACUUACUGGUACCUAUGGAAAGACCAAGUUAAAAAGCGGAUACAAAGACAUAUAAUGACUAGACUUAGUGACUCCCUUAACAAAAUGAAAGAACAGAAAUUAAACUGAGAACAAAAAUUAAACUCUGCAUCCCACAUAAAUUCCCCCUUCUUGGAAUCCAAAGAGUUAAGCAUGCCAUCUUCCGGCACACCUGCUUAUUUUGUAUCUAAGAACUGUGGUCCCAGAAGCUGUAGAUAUCUACAAAAAUGACAAAGUCUUACUAAGCUUGUAUGUACCCCGAGAAUAUGGCUAACUGUCAGGUUUUGGGCGCUAAAAUAUGCUGGACAGAAAUGUGGGUUGCACCAUAUUUGCAGCUAGAUAUGGCUGGACAGAAAAUGUGGGUUAAACUUCAUUCGUGGCUAGGGUCCUACCAAAUUGCCGCCAGCCCUCAGGGAAAUUACAACCUGGAAUUAUAGUGGCCAUUAUGGGGAAUAUUCCAAUUAGAUAAGACCAUUUAGGAAGUGCACUUAAAAGCACGAGCUUCCAAAAUCAAACUAGCAGUUAAUGGGAUACCGAUUUUAAUUGGUCUGCAGAAGCCUCCAAAAGGUUUCAAAAUUCCAAAAUAGCUUCAUUGAAAGAUUUGUUGUAACGAUUAAAGAGAAAGUAAAGAUGUAAGAGGUAUCAAAGGACUGUGUGAUUGACUUAACUCCUACCGGUCUUCUCUGUCCUCCUUUGAGUGCUUAUUCUAGUAAUCCUUUGUCUGAAUUGCCUUUCCACUCUGAAGAGACCAUUAAACAGUUAUUUUAAAAAAUAAAACCACUUGAGGUUCCAGGUGCUCUUCCUCAGAUAUCUUUCACUCCUUGGUCAAAGGCCAAACUAAGGGCCAUACUUAAAGAAUGUCUUAAACUCAGGAAGGAUUCUCAAGUUUUUGUGGAUUAACUCCUGAGUUGGUGUUUAGAUAAAAAGGCAGAAAGAAAAUAAGAUGGAGGCCACCAGUCUAGCUGAACUUAUGAUGACCCUGAUAUUCAGACCCGUCAGGAAUUUUUCCUAUCAAAGAAUUUUUUUAGGCCUCUGCCCUAUGCUAAAUGGGCCCAGAGGAGAAGAAAACACUCCAGCUUAGGUGGAUG